CCUACGGGGGGCAGCAGUGGGGAAUAUUGGACAAUGGGCGAAAGCCUGAUCCAGCCAUGCCGCGUGAGUGAUGAAGGCCCUAGGGUUGUAAAGCUCUUUCACCGGUGAAGCGGUAACCGGAGAAGAAGCCCCGGCUAACUUCGUGCCAGCAGCCGCGGUAAUACGAAGGGGGCUAGCGUUGUUCGGAAUUACUGGGCGUAAAGCGCACGUAGGCGGAUACUUAAGUUAGGGGUGAAAUCCCAGGGCUCAACCCUGGAACUGCCUUUAAUACUGGGUAUCUCGAGUCCGAGAGAGGUGAGUGGAAUUCCGAGUGUAGAGGUGAAAUUCGUAGAUAUUCGGAGGAACACCAGUGGCGAAGGCGGCUCACUGGCUGGACUGACGCUGAGGUGCGAAAGCGUGGGGAGCAAACAGGAUUAGAUACCCUUGUAGUC
rnacentral:rRNA from 1 species